rnacentral:lncRNA from 1 species
UCGACGGUAACACCAUCAUCAGUGAAAAUGGUUAUUUCUAUAGUUUUUACAACUCAAUGUUCUCCUUGCUUGUGAUCUACAGUGUACUUGCUGCUUACUUAUGCAUGUAGUUUAUGUUGUCAUUUGAGAAUGAGUAAUGAUGAGUUAAUUUCAUCUUUGGGAAGGUGUCAUGUUGAUAUUUUAUGCCCAUGGAGCUCCAUGGGUAUAUGGAUAUCCAAUGGGUUUGGGCAUGGGCACAAAUUGUGUCCAUGAAUACUUUGGUGGAUAGGCAGAAGAUAUGAAGAUGGGUCAUGGGUUGUACUUGGACCAGCUCCACCCGCACCAAACCCGACCCAUUGCCAUCCCCAGAGAAAAUAGUUUAGGAAUGAUAGAUGUUUGGAAAUGACAAUAACAUUGUUGUAACUUAAAAGAGUGUUGCUCUGACAUUGAACCAUUCAUUUGUAGCCUAUUGUUUUAAAGUUAUUUAAUCUAUAAUAUGUAAUCGCUCUCAAGUUCAUAUGUAACAACCAAGAUAGGUUAUGGUUUUCUGGUGCAUUAUUGAAAUUUUGCUGAACUUUCUGAAUGUAUAAUGUUAAUACCACAAUUGCUUUCACAAGUAAUAUUGUCCAUGGAUAUCCUGUACUUUUCUUAGUUAUUUUAUUCCAUUUUUUCUCCUUGUGUUGAGCGGUUUUGUGAACCGUGAGAAAGUAAUAUUGUCCAUGGAUAUCCUAUACGUAAGAAUCAAAAUAUAUAUAAUUUUUCUUGCUCAUGCAUCUAUCAUAUUAUGUGUCCUAAGUCUGAAUCUCCUGAUCAGUCAAGUCAUGUUGCCUUGUGAUCUUUUUUUGAGUCAAUCAGUCUCAGGUCUCAGCUUGUGACAAUAAAAGAUAUUUCUAUAUUGAUCCACAACACUUUACAAAAAAGUAUACAUAACAUUGUGUGCUAAAAAUGCAAAGUAGUCACUUUUACUUCUUGGUUCAAAUUCCUUUUUCGCACCAUUUGACGCGAUAUGCCAUCUAUGUUUUAAGGAAAAGAUGGCACUAGAGUGAUAGCAGGUGUGAUUAGGAAUUGGGUGGAAACAAGCAUACUACUUGGAGUACCAUCUUCUUCUUGAACGAAUUUUAACUAUGCGGUUUAUUUACUUAUUAAUUUUCUUGUGGACUUUCACGUCCAGGUGCAGCUUUUAUCAAUAUAAACAUGGCUAUGUUAGAAGAUGGUGCAUGAAAUGUUCAUGAUGCUCUCAGGUUAUUUGAAUUCAAACUUUUAUUAGUAGUUACACAAGCUGACACUUACAAUGGUGUUCAGCUCCUAUGAUGGAUACUUCUACUGCAGAACUUACGACCUCGAUGCUAGAAGAUUCUUAACCGUUAAUUUGAUUUUUAGAAUUUUACAUGUUGACCUUUCAGGAUUAUUUCAGUGCCUUCUAGAGAUUAAGUUCAUGUUUAAUCCAUAGAUGGUGCAAACCUUUGAGUUGCUAGAUUGGAUGUGUUGCUUGGUUUUGGUAUAUGAGAUCUCUUAUGCUGAAAUAAUGUGGUGCUUUGCUAACUAAUGGUGUUUUUUUGCAUUUGUUAGGAAAAAACUUUUGUUACAACCGUUGGUUUAUUUUUACUGGAGAUAAAAUGUAUGUGAACUCGUGAAAAUAAUCGCACAGGAGGUGUAUUUGUUGGAAAUAUGCCCUAGAGGCAAUAAUAAAUUAGUUACUAUUGUAUUUCCUUUUUCAUGAUAAUCGUUUAUUAUCCAUGCUAUAACUGUAUUGAUUGGAAACACAAAUACACGUGUGGAUACAUAGACAACACACUGUCCCUAGUGAGCCUCUAAGGACUACCUCGUUGAUCAAAGAUGGUCAAGGUUUUCUGACCAUAGACAUGAGUUGUUAUUUGAUAAUGGGGUCACAUCAUUAGGAGAAUGAUGUGAUGGACAAGACCCAAACUAUAAACAUAGCAUGUGACCGUGUCAGUUUAUUGCUAAUGUUUUCUGCAUGUCAAGUAUCUGUUUCUAUGACCAUGAGAUCAUGCAACUCUCGGGCACCGGAGGAAUGCCUUGUGUGUAUCAAACAUCACAGCGUAACUGGGUGACUAUAAAGAUGCUCUACAGGUAUCUUCGAAGGUGUUUGUUGGGUUGCGUGAACCA